CCUACGGGAGGCAGCAGUGAGGAAUAUUGGUCAAUGGACGAGAGUCUGAACCAGCCAAGUAGCGUGAAGGAUGACUGCCCUAUGGGUUGUAAACUUCUUUUAUAUGGGAAUAAAAUGUUCCACGUGUGGGAUUUUGUAUGUCCCAUAUGAAUAAGGAUCGGCUAACUCCGUGCCAGCAGCCGCGGUAAUACGGAGGAUCCGAGCGUUAUCCGGAUUUAUUGGGUUUAAAGGGAGCGUAGGUGGAUUGUUAAGUCAGUUGUGAAAGUUUGCGGCUCAACCGUAAAAUUGCAGUUGAAACUGGCAGUCUUGAGUACAGUAGAGGUGGGCGGAAUUCGUGGUGUAGCGGUGAAAUGCUUAGAUAUCACGAAGAACUCCGAUUGCGAAGGCAGUUCACUGGACUGCAACUGACACUGAGGCUCGAAAGUGUGGGUAUCAAACAGGAUUAGAUACCCGAGUAGUC
rnacentral:rRNA from 1 species